rnacentral:tRNA from 1 species
AAGGGAGACCUAAUUCCAGUAGGAGACGAAAAAAAAGUAGUCCCUACCAAGAAUCAAUCCCAAAAGGUCGGAGCGAGGCAAAAUUGGCUUUCAAACUAGGUUCUGGGUUCACACAAGACCUGAAUCAGGAACAAGGGCUAUUAGCUCAGGUGGUUAGAGCGCACCCCUGAUAAGGGUGAGGUCCCUGGUUCGAGUCCAGGAUGGCCCACCUGCACAGGUGGAAGAAAGAAAAGAAGCUCCGAAUCAGCACCUUAUCUUACUUAUAUAGUAAGAGAGAAUGCUAGCUCUGAGUACAGAGUCCAGAGGAACCUUGAAAACUGCAUAGAGCUGGGUGAAAAAGCCAAAAAAGAAGACCGCAAGGUCAAGCUAAUAAGGGCUAACGGUGGAUACCUAGGCAC